GAUUAGAUACCCUGGUAGUCCACGCCGUAAACGAUGUCGACUUGGAGGUUGUUCCCUUGAGGAGUGGCUUCCGGAGCUAACGCGUUAAGUCGACCGCCUGGGGAGUACGGCCGCAAGGUUAAAACUCAAAUGAAUUGACGGGGGCCCGCACAAGCGGUGGAGCAUGUGGUUUAAUUCGAUGCAACGCGAAGAACCUUACCUACUCUUGACAUCCACGGAAUUCGGCAGAGAUGCCUUAGUGCCUUCGGGAACCGUGAGACAGGUGCUGCAUGGCUGUCGUCAGCUCGUGUUGUGAAAUGUUGGGUUAAGUCCCGCAACGAGCGCAACCCUUAUCCUUUGUUGCCAGCGAUUCGGUCGGGAACUCAAAGGAGACUGCCGGUGAUAAACCGGAGGAAGGUGGGGAUGACGUCAAGUCAUCAUGGCCCUUACGAGUAGGGCUACACACGUGCUACAAUGGCGCAUACAAAGAGAAGCGACCUCGCGAGAGCAAGCGGACCUCAUAAAGUGCGUCGUAGUCCGGAUCGGAGUCUGCAACUCGACUCCGUGAAGUCGGAAUCGCUAGUAAUCGUGGAUCAGAAUGCCACGGUGAAUACGUUCCCGGGCCUUGUACACACCGCCCGUCACACCAUGGGAGUGGGUUGCAAAAGAAGUAGGUAGCUCAACCUUCGGGAGGGCGCUUACCACUUUGUGAUUCAUGACUGGGGUGAAGUCGUAACAAGG
rnacentral:rRNA from 1 species